rnacentral:misc_RNA from 1 species
GGCAUACAAGAGAUGAAAUUUCAAGCUUAAGAGAGAAUUCAGGCAAUUGAUUAAUUGGGAGAAUUCUCUUUUCGUGAUGGAAAUGAUAAGAGAGAAGCUGAAAGCCAAAUAUCAAAUAUUUGGACCAAAUGAUCUCUUACAGUGAGCAAUAGCUGCCUGGAUAGAGUUAUCAGUGACAGCCGAAGAUGAAAUUUUAUAGGUUUCAG